GUAACUGUGGCUAUUUAAUUAUUUUAGAGGUUGGAUCCUCUUUGAUAGGAUAUACAAUGGCAUAUGAUUUAAUCUUGUUACAGUCCAAUAUUGCCAUUAAAUAAGCAGAGUGAAAAAAUAACAUCUGAAGCCUGAUUUACAAAGAAAUUGCAAACAUACUUUGCAGUCGUACGAUCAUUAACAGAUUGGUUUAUAAUUGGCAUGCAUGCUUGCUAUUUAACAAGGCCUGUGACACUCUUUGUGACACGCAAACACAAGAGGAAAAAAAAACAUCCAAAGCACAUCCUGGCCAAUGUUAUUUCAUGCAGAGAAAGGAGCGGAGCAGAGUGAAGGAAGGACUGGAAGUGAACACCCUGAUCAAAAAAACAGCACCAAUAAAGAAAACCAGAGAGAAGUCUGCACUGGAAAAACAAGUCUACAGAAAUCAGGCAAGCAGACACUGCAUUUCUACAGAUGCUCCUCAUCCCUGUGGCUUUUUCUGCAGAUGCAAAGUAUUCUACUACCAGCCUGUGAUCUGAUCAUGUGAUCUUCAAAGGUUAUUUCUACUUAGCUGGCAGUGAAGAGGCAUAAGCUGGAACUCACUUGCCCAUGAGUGGAAGAAAACACUUCUGCAGAGGAAGCCUGGCUAACUUACCAUUAAUAUGCCACAGCAUCUGAAACCCGCUUCUAGCUUGCAGUCCAUCAGAGUAAAAUUCCACAUGAAGACUGGUGCCCGUGGUGUUCCCUGCCAGUGGAAGAGACCGUCCACAGAAAGUGCCUAUCAGGUUGGACUGUACAUCAGGCCCAUCAUAGAGCUGAAAUGAAACAAAGAAUAUCCAAGUGAGUAAAAAGUGGCUUCUCAGUUGUUAGUGAUACAGGAUGGCAAAGAAAGUAAUGAAGCUUCUGACACUGGCCACCCUUACACAGCAAUACGAGUGAUUUGAAUGCAACAGCGACUGAAGGUAACCACAAAAUGUUUUAAAACCUGACUACACAGUGAGCAAAGUAGGAAGGUUUUCCUGUUUCUGUUUUGGUAUGUAUUGAGGUUACUGAGGAAGAAUGACUGACAUUAAAAAAAGGAAGAUGUUCUGGAUCCAAUUUGACUAUACUAAUAAUACUCUCAGUGCCUCCAAAUCCUUCAGUGAUAACUCAUAUUAUGCCUUUAUCUCUUUAAUGCACUCAGAUGAUUUCCCUAGGAAAUGAUGGAGUAUAUCAAGCAGUUGGCAUCACCAGAGCCUCCUGGAGUAGUGAUGAAAAACUGAAAACAAAAAGUAAAGUAAAUCCUCAAAAACCUCAAAGUAAACGUUA